GGAUCAUUACCGAGUUCAUGCCCUUCGGGGUAGAUCUCCCACCCUUUGUAUACCAUACCUCUGUUGCUUUGGCGGGCCGCCUAGCUACUGGCUUCGGCUGGUAAGUGCCCGCCAGAGGACCCAAAACCCUGAAUAUUAGUGUCGUCUGAGUAAAAAGUUUAAUAUUUAAAACUUUCAACAACGGAUCUCUUGGCUCUGGCAUCGAUGAAGAACGCAGCGAAAUGCGAUAAGUAAUGUGAAUUGCAGAAUUCAGUGAAUCAUCGAAUCUUUGAACGCACAUUGCGCCCCUUGGUAUUCCGAGGGGCAUGCCUAUUCGAGCGUCAUUAUCACCCCUCAAGCCUAGCUUGGUGUUGAGACCUGCUGUCAAGGCAGUCUCUAAAAUCAGUGGCAGUGCUGUCAGGCUCUAAGCGUAGUAAAUUCGUCGCUAUAGGGUCCUGGUGGACACUCGUCAAAACCCCCCCCAUUUUUUAAUGAUUGACCUCGGAUUAGGUAGGGAUACCCGCUGAACUUAAGCAUAUCAAUAAGCGGAGGAAAAGAAACCAACAGGGAUUGCCUCAGUAACGGCGAGUGAAGCGGCAAAAGC
rnacentral:rRNA from 1 species